GACGAACGCUGGCGGCGUGCUUAACACAUGCAAGUCGAACGGUGAUGACAGGGCUUGCCUUGUCGGAUCAGUGGCGAACGGGUGAGUAACACGUGAGUAACCUGCCCCAGACUCUGGGAUAACCCCGGGAAACCGGAGCUAAUACCGGAUAUGACCCUUGUACGCAUGUGCUGGGGGUGGAAAGUUUUUUCGGUCUGGGAUGGGCUCGCGGCCUAUCAGCUUGUUGGUGAGGUAGUGGCUCACCAAGGCGACGACGGGUAGCCGGCCUGAGAGGGCGACCGGCCACACUGGGACUGAGACACGGCCCAGACUCCUACGGGAGGCAGCGGUGGGGAAUAUUGCACAAUGGGCGAAAGCCUGAUGCAGCGACGCCGCGUGAGGGAUGACGGCCUUCGGGUUGUAAACCUCUUUCAGCAGGGAAGAAGCGGAAGUGACGGUACCUGCAGAAGAAGCACCGGCUAACUACGUGCCAGCCGCCGCCGUAACAC
rnacentral:rRNA from 1 species